rnacentral:rRNA from 1 species
GACGAACGCUGGCGGCGUGCCUAACACAUGCAAGUCGAGCGGAGCUAAUAGCAAUAUUAGCUUAGCGGCGGACGGGUGAGUAACGCGUGGGCAACCUGCCUUACAGAGGGGGAUAACAGUGCGAAAGCACUGCUAAUACCGCAUGACAUUGCGAUAUCGCAUGGUAUUGCAAUCAAAGGAGAAAUCCGCUGUAAGAUGGGCCCGCGUCUGAUUAGCUAGUUGGUGAGGUAAAAGCUUACCAAGGCGACGAUCAGUAGCCGAUCUGAGAGGAUGAACGGCCACACUGGAACUGAGACACGGUCCAGACUCCUACGGGAGGCAGCAGUGGGGAAUAUUGCACAAUGGGCGAAAGCCUGAUGCAGCAACGCCGCGUGGAGGAUGAAGGUUUUCGGAUUGUAAACUCCUUUGAUCGGGGAUGAAAAAAUGACAGUACCCGAAAACAAGCCACGGCUAACUACGUGCCAGCAGCC